rnacentral:rRNA from 1 species
UACGUAGGUGGCAAGCGUUGUCCGGAUUUACUGGGCGUAAAGAGCGCGCAGGCGGUCGUUCAAGUCGCGUGUGAAAGCCCCCGGCUCAACUGGGGAGGGUCACGCGAUACUGAUCGACUCGAAGGCAGGAGAGGGUAGUGGAAUUCCCCGGUGUAGUGGUGAAAUGCGUAGAUAUCGGGAGGAACACCAGUGGCGAAGGCGACUACCUGGCCUGUUCUUGACGCUGAGGCGCGAAAGCUAGGGGAGCAAACGGGG